rnacentral:rRNA from 1 species
UACGUAGGGUGCAAGCGUUGUCCGGAAUUAUUGGGCGUAAAGAGCUCGUAGGCGGUCUGUCGCGUCGGCUGUGAAAACCCGGAGCUCAACUCCGGGCCUGCAGUCGAUACGGGCAGACUGGAGUUCGGCAGGGGAGACUGGAAUUCCUGGUGUAGCGGUGAAAUGCGCAGAUAUCAGGAGGAACACCUGUGGCGAAAGCGGCUCACUGGACCACAACUGACGCUGAGGCGCGAAAGCUAGGGGAGCAAACAGG